GAUAUUGCUAACACACACAGCUACACACAAUAAGCAGAUUUUAGUGCAGACCGAUUUCAAACGCAGCGUUGUGGGCCAAACCAUUUUCAAAUACCGCCGCCAUUCUAUUUGUUGAGCUGCCAUUGGUUCAUUUGAGCGCCAACGAGGCAGAAUGAAAUCGGUUCACUGAAGAAUCUAUGUUGCUAGCAGAGGUUGUUACAAAGUGUCUGGACACAAUAAAACCAUUUGUAUGAUUUAAAAAGAGUAACUAUUGUGCUUUCAUUCUAUGUACUUGGGCUUUUAAUAAUCUUUCUCACAGUCACAUCAGCAUGCAUGGGUGGGUCUCAUGUAUGGAUUCAGGCUGGUUUGGCUGGGACCCAUGCAAGAUUAUUAUUGUCGUUUUUUUCAAUAAAACUGCAUUGAAUCGUUUAGCUUUGGGCUAUAUAGGUAAUGAUAAGAGGGCAUGGGUUUUAUCUGGGCCAACUGCGUGAGGCUCAAAAGGUUAACCGAAAUGGGACUCAUAUUGUUGGCUCAAUUGGGUUAAAUGUAUGGGCCCAAUUCAGCAUUAACGUGGGCUAACCGGGCAUGGGACAGAAAUGGGAACACUAUAUGGGGCCCAUGUGGUUUCAGUAUAUUGGGCCUAAAAGGUUUUUUGUAAAUAGGAUGAAGGCAUUGUAGUUCAUAUUUUUAAAUUCUUUUUUUAAUUGUUGUGUGACACUUUAAAGCGUUUUGUUAUGUCAUAGUUUAUUUCAAUCUGCCGCUAUUGUGUUGGUCUAGAGUAGUCAUCAGUGUCAGGGUUCCUGUGUGUGUAUGUGAGUGUCGCAUCUUAUUUCAGCGAGGAGCCCGUGGAGCUUGGCACAGGUGGAGGAGCAGCAGAAUCUUCAGUCUACGCUAGAUUGACUGAAGAUUCUACUGGUGUAUGCUAGAUGGUUGCAUACACCGGUAGUCACUCUGGCCUCUCCUGUUGUGAACAGUUUUCUGAGAACGUUUCUGUGUCUACUAGAAGUCACCUGGUCUCUGUGUUUGUUCGAUCCUAGGGGUUUUGUCGCCUCAUUCGAGAACUCACCAGUGAAUACCUGCCUGCUCGCUCCGCCGAUUCCACUGCCUCCACUCCACCCUUCGAGCUUCCAGCUCUCUUCCAUUCCCACCUCGCAUUUACCUUCGGAACCGCUGCACACCCUCUCUCAGGAACCUGGCAUCUCACACCCACGCCUCGAAAGACCCGCACCGAAGCUUCAAGAGGAUCAGCGUGUGAAGAUCACUUUAUAAUGAUUUGAAAAAGGUUGCCAUGGCUACAGAAAUUGGAGGAGCAUCCUUAGAUGACACAAUACAACCAGCUGUGCGAUUCCUCAUGUCCCAUGAACUGGAAGUCCAGUUCAACCUUUUUGGCCAACAUUGGAAACAAGCUCUUGGACCUGCGUCUCUUUGAUGUUUUGUAUGGGGACUUAAAAGAAAUGAUCCAUCUACAGAAUCACACAAGCAUACAGCAAAGACUCUCGAAGUGGUUUACUGGAGCCCGAGUGGAAGUGGAAAUAGACUAGAGAGACUGCCAGUUCAAACUCAGGUUGGGGAGGUCUUUCAAGAUGGACAGUUUCAGUAAAGUAUGAGAGAUUUCAAAUUUAAGCAUGCAUAUGGCAUGUAGGUUAUUUUUAAAAAUGUUUAACAAAAAUGUAUUGU